rnacentral:rRNA from 1 species
UACAGAGGGGGCAAGCGUUAUUCGGAAUUAUUGGGCGUAAAGGGCGCGUAGGCGGCCUGGCAAGUGGAAGGUGAAAUCCCUCGGCUUAACCGAGGAACUGCCUCCCAAACUGCUUGGCUUGAGACCGGGAGAGGUGAGUGGAAUUCCCAGUGUAGCGGUGAAAUGCGUAGAUAUUGGGAGGAACACCAGUGGCGAAGGCGGCUCACUGGACCGGUACUGACGCUGAUGCGCGAAAGCGUGGGGAGCAAACAGG